rnacentral:sRNA from 1 species
AUAAAUUCGUUCCUUAUAUCUGCGAAGUUACAAGUCCUGACGUACUUUAUAAUUCCCUUCAAUUAGGGAAAUAGUUAUUCAACCCCAUUGACAAACUUUCCAAAUGCUUUGUAUUGUAUUACAGGUUAUCAGAAUCACUUUGAAUAAGCGAACAUGUUCUAAGGCCGUGAAGAGGGAGAACUUCUCCAUUACCAACUCUCUAGUGCCAUACAUUUUGUUUUGCAAAGACAGCGUUUAACUUCAUUGGAACGUGAAACAAUGAAGUUUCUCUACCUAAUGUUAAAAUUUGCGAAAGAGGAGGAUAUUUGUUCAGCUCUACAAAAUGCUACCAUUUAUUUGGUCGGGGACUCCUUCAUGAGACACUUGUGUAUAUCUGUUUUAAAUUUAAUCUAUCAGAACGAAACAGAUAAAGUCUACAGAGAGAAUGCCGGGGAAGGUAAG